rnacentral:rRNA from 1 species
GACGAACGCUGGCGGCACGCUUAACACAUGCAAGUCGAACGAGAGAAGAGAAGCUUGCUUUUCUGAUCUAGUGGCGGACGGGUGAGUAACACGUGAGCAAUCUGCCUUUCAGAGGGGGAUACCGAUUGGAAACGAUCGUUAAUACCGCAUAACAUAAUUGAACCGCAUGAUUUGAUUAUCAAAGAUUUAUCGCUGAAAGAUGAGCUCGCGUCUGAUUAGCUAGUUGGUAAGGUAACGGCUUACCAAGGCGACGAUCAGUAGCCGGACUGAGAGGUUGAUCGGCCACAUUGGGACUGAGACACGGCCCAGACUCCUACGGGAGGGAGCAGUGGGGAAUAUUGCACAAUGGAGGAAACUCUGAUGCAGCGAUGCCGCGUGAGGGAAGAAGGUUUUAGGAUUGUAAACCUCUGUCUUCAGGGACGAAAAAAGACGGUACCUGAGGAGGAAGCUCCGGCUAACUACGUG